rnacentral:rRNA from 1 species
AACGCGAAGAACCUUACCUACCCUUGACAUGCCAGGAAUCCUUGAGAGAUCAGGGAGUGCCUUCGGGAGCCUGGACACAGGUGCUGCAUGGCUGUCGUCAGCUCGUGUCGUGAGAUGUUGGGUUAAGUCCCGCAACGAGCGCAACCCUUGUCGCUAAUUGCCAUCAUUUGGUUGGGCACUUUAGCGAGACUGCCGGUGACAAACCGGAGGAAGGUGGGGAUGACGUCAAGUCCUCAUGGCCCUUAUGGGUAGGGCUUCACACGUCAUACAAUGGUCGGUACAGAGGGUUGCCAAGCCGCGAGGUGGAGCUAAUCUCUUAAAGCCGAUCGUAGUCCGGAUCGUAGUCUGCAACUCGACUACGUGAAGUCGGAAUCGUUAGUAAUCGUGGAUCAGCAUGCCACGGUGAAUACGUUCCCGGGUCUUGUACACACCGAAUCGUCGACC